rnacentral:rRNA from 1 species
AGCGAACGCUGGCGGCGUGCCUAACACAUGCAAGUCGAACGUGAAAAGGGAAACCUGAGUAAAGUGGCGUACGGGUGUGUACCGCGUAGGUAAUCUACCCCAGAAUCUGGAAUAACCUGCCGAAAGGCGGGCUAAUACUGGAUAGAGCGAGGGAACUCGUAAGAGAGUUUUUCGGGAAAGGGAGCCCGCAAGGGCCUUCGUUCUGGGAUGAGCCUGCGUCUCAUUAGCUAGUUGGUAAGGUAACGGCUUAGCAAGGCGAUGAUGAGUAGCUGGUCUGAGAGGCUGAUCAGCCACACUGGAACUGAAACACGGUCCAGACUCCUACGGGAGGCAGCGGUGGGGAAUCUUGCGCAAUGGACGAAAGUCUGACGCAGCCACGCCGCGUUGGUGAAGAAGGCCUUCGGGUUGUAAAACUCUGUCGGAUGGGACGAACAUCUUCAUAGUGAAUAGCUAUGAGGACUGACGGUACCAUCAAAGGAAGCACCGGCUAACUCCGUG